rnacentral:rRNA from 1 species
AUACGGAGGGUGCAAGCGUUACUCGGAAUCACUGGGCGUAAAGCGCGCGCAGGCGGGCUGAUAAGUUGGAUGUGAAAGCCUACGGCUCAACCGUAGAACUGCAUCCAAAACUGUCAGGCUAGAGUGUGGGAGAGGAAGAUGGAAUUAGUUGUGUAGGGGUAAAAUCCGUAGAGAUAACUAGGAAUACCAAAAGCGAAGGCAAUCUUCUGGAACACUACUGACGCCGAGGCGCGAAGGCGUGGGGAGCAAACAGGAUUAGAAACCCCAGUAGUCC